rnacentral:misc_RNA from 1 species
CGGAGGGAUCAUUACCGAGUUAUACAACUCAUCAACCCUGUGAACAUACCUAAAACGUUGCUUCGGCGGGAACAGACGGCCCCGUAACACGGGCCGCCCCCGCCAGAGGACCCCCUAACUCUGUUUCUAUUAUGUUUCUUCUGAGUAAAACAAGCAAAUAAAUUAAAACUUUCAACAACGGAUCUCUUGGCUCUGGCAUCGAUGAAGAACGCAGCGAAAUGCGAUAAGUAAUGUGAAUUGCAGAAUUCAGUGAAUCAUCGAAUCUUUGAACGCACAUUGCGCCCGCCAGUAUUCUGGCGGGCAUGCCUGUUCGAGCGUCAUUACAACCCUCAGGCCCCCGGGCCUGGCGUUGGGGAUCGGCGAGGCGCCCCCUGCGGGCACACGCCGUCCCCCAAAUACAGUGGCGGUCCCGCCGCAGCUUCCAUUGCGUAGUAGCUAACACCUCGCAACUGGAGAGCGGCGCGGCCACGCCGUAAAACACCCAACUUCUGAAUGUUGACCUCGAAUCAGGUAGGAAUACCCGCUGAACUUAA